UGCACUGCCCUCUAGUGUUAUAGAAGGUAACUACACCCUGCACUGCCCUCUAGUGUUAUAGAAGGUAACUACACCCUGCACUGCCCUCUAGUGUUAUAGAAGGUAACUACACCCUGCACUGCCCUCUAGUGUUAUAGAAGGUAACUACACCCUGCACUGCCCUCUAGUGUUAUAGAAGGUAACUACACCCUGCACUGCCCUCUAGUGUUAUAGAAGGUAACUACACCCUGCACUGCCCUCUAGUGUUAUAGAAGGUAACUACACCCUGCACUGCCCUCUAGUGUUAUAGAAGGUAACUACACCCUGCACUGCCCUCUAGUGUUAUAGAAGGUAACUACACCCUGCACUGCCCUCUAGUGUUAUAGAAGGUAACUACACCCUGCACUGCCCUCUAGUGUUAUAGAAGGUAA